rnacentral:rRNA from 1 species
CGUGAGAAUCUGCAUUCAGGUCGGGGACAACAGUUGGAAACGACUGCUAAUACCGGAUGUGCCGAAAGGUGAAAGGCUUGCUGCCUGAAAAAGAGCUCGCGUCUGAUUAGCUAGUAGGUGGGGUAAAAGCCUACCUAGGCGACGAUCAGUAGCUGGUCUGAGAGGAUGAUCAGCCACACUGGGACUGAGACACGGCCCAGACUCCUACGGGAGGCAGCAGUGGGGAAUUUUCCGCAAUGGGCGAAAGCCUGACGGAGCAAUACCGCGUGAGGGAGGAAGGCUCUUGGGUUGUAAACCUCUUUUCUCAGGGAAUAAAAAAAUGAAGGUACCUGAGGAAUAAGCAUCGGCUAACUCCGUGCCAGCAGCCGCGGUAAUACGGAGGAUGCAAGCGUUAUCCGGAAUGAUUGGGCGUAAAGCGUCCGCAGGUGGCAGUGUAAGUCUGCUGUUAAAGAGUCACGCUUAACGUGAUAAAGGCAGUGGAAACUACACAGCUAGAGUACGUUCGGGGCAGAGGGAAUUCCUGGUGUAGCGGUGAAAUGCGUAGAGAUCAGGAAGAACACCGGUGGCGAAAGCGCUCUGCUAGGCCUGUACUGACACUGAGGGACGAAAGCUAGGGGAGCGAAUGGGA